rnacentral:rRNA from 1 species
UUAGUUGGUAGGGUAAUGGCCUACCAAGACGAUGAUGUGUAGCUGGACUGAGAGGUUGAACAGCCACAUUGGGACUGAGACACGGCCCAAACUCCUACGGGAGGCAGCAGUAGGGAAUUUUCGGCAAUGGAGGAAACUCUGACCGAGCAACGCCGCGUGAAUGACGAAGUACUUCGGUAUGUAAAGUUCUUUUAUCAAGGAAGAAAAGCAAAUGGCGAACCAUUUGUUUGCCGGUACUUGAUGAAUAAGCCCCGGCUAAUUAUGUGCCAGCAGCCGCGGUAAGACAUAAGGGGCAAGUGUUAUCCGGAAUUAUUGGGCGUAAAGGGUGCGUAGGCGGUCUAGUAAGUCAGUGGUGUAAUGGCAACGCUUAACGUUGUCCGGCUAUUGAAACUGCUAAACUUGAGUUAGAUAGAGGCGAGUGGAAUUCCAUGUGUAGCGGUAAAAUGCGUAAAUAUAUGGAGGAACACCAGAGGCGUAGGCGGCUCGCUGGGUCUUAACUGACGCUGAGGCACGAAAGCGUGGGGAGCAAACAGGAUUAGAUACCCUGGUAGUCCACGCCGUAAACGAUGAGUACUAAGUGUCGGGUUAAACCGGUACUGAAGUUAACACAUUAAGUACUCCGCCUGAGUAGUACGUACGCAAGUAUGAAACUUAAAGGAAUUGACGGGACUCCGCACAAGCGGUGGAUCAUGUUGUUUAAUUCGAAGAUACCCGAAAAACCUUACCAGGUCUUGACAUGUUUUUGCAAAAUGAUAGUAAUAUCGUGGAGGUUACCAGAAACACAGGUGGUGCAUGGUUGUCGUCAGCUCGUGUCGUGAGAUGUUAGGUUAAGUCCUAAAACGAGCGAAACCCUUAUCGUUAGUUGCCAGCACGUUAUGGGUGGGGACUUUAACGAGACUGCCAAUGAUAAAUUGGAGGAAGGUUGAGGAUCACGUCAAAUCAGCAUGCCCCUUAUGACCUGGGCUACAAACGUGAUACAAUGGCUGUUACAAAGGGUAGCUGAAACGCAAGUUCUUGGCCAAUCCCCAAAAACAGUCCCAGUCCGGAUUGAAGUCUGCAACUCGACUUCAUGAAGUGGAAUCGCUGUAAUCGCG